rnacentral:rRNA from 1 species
CAGCAGCCACAGUAAUACGUAGGUGGCAAGCGUUGUCCGGAAUUAUUGGGCGUAAAGGGCUCGCAGGCGGUUUCUUAAGUCUGAUGUGAAAGCCCCCGGCUCAACCGGGGAGGGUCAUUGGAAACUGGGAAACUUGAGUGCAGAAGGGGAGAGUGGAAUUCCACGUGUAGCGGUGAAAUGCGUAGAGAUGUGGAGGAACACCAGUGGCGAAGGCGACUCUCUGGUCUGUAACUGACGCUGAGGUGCGAAAGCGUGGGGAGCAAACAGGAUUAGAUACCCCGGUAGUCCCUGUCUCUUAUAC